UUUAAUCUUGAGUAUCAGGAGGAAGCAGUGUGUACCUUGGAGUUCAUUCAAAGGUGCUUUGUGGGCAUAAAUCCAGAGAGAAGAUCCAAAGCCAAGGGAAAAGUGCCAUCGAAAUAAAAACAGGACAAGUGAUACAGAAGAAAAUGUGUGGCAGUCAACCCACAUGUUGCCACUCUUCUGUGCAAAUUCCAAUGGAAUUUCUGAAAUUCACACUUUGAAUCCUGGGAUGGAACUUCAUCUGGAGCAUAAUUGUUAUUUGGUUGAUUUUUAUCUGUUUGAUGGAAAGUUUGUAUGACUUAUGCACGUGCGCGGCUCCUUCCGGUGAGUCAUGCAGCACUUUUUUUUGUAUGACUUGUUUGGCAAUAUUGGUCUAUUCUUUAAUGAUGAAAGCUAUCUGAAAAUGUCUUUGUGGUUUUUAAAGGAUUAGUUCACCCAAAAAUGAAAAUUAAGUCAAUAAUUACUUAUGUCGUUCCACACCCAUAAGAUCUUCGUUCAUCCUCACAACACACAUUAAGAUGUGGCUCAGUGAAGCCUGCAUUUCUAGCAAGAUCAUUUCUUUUUUCAAUGCCCAGAAAGCCUCUAA